rnacentral:rRNA from 1 species
UAGAGUUUGAUCCUGGCUCAGGAUGAACGCUGGCGGCGUGCUUAACACAUGCAAGUCGAACGAAAAACCAAGAUUUUCGAAUUUUGGUGGAUUAGUGGCGAACGGGUGAGUAACACGUUGGUGACCAACCCCGAGGAGGGGGACAACUGUGGGAAACUACAGCUAAUACCCCGGAUGCUCAGAUGUUUAGAAAGUCUGAGUUAAAGCUCCGGUGCCUCGGGACGGGCCUGCGGGCUAUCAGCUUGUUGGUGGGGUAAUGGCCUACCAAGGCGAAGACGGCUAGGGGGCGUGAGAGCGUGGCCCCCCACAAUGGAACUGAGACACGGUCCAUACUCCUACGGGAGGCAGCAGUGAGGAAUAUUGCGCAAUGGGGGAAACCCUGACGCAGCAACGCCGCGUGGGUGAUGAAGGCUUUCGGGUCGUAAAACCCUUUUCUGGGGACGAAACCAGACGGUACCCCAGGAAUAAGUCCCGGCUAACUACGUGCCAGCAGCCGCGGUAAACGUAGGGGCGAGCGUUAUCCGGAAUUAUUGGGCGUAAGCGCACGUAGCGGCAUGGUAAGUUGGACGUGAAAGCUCUCGGCUUACUGGAGAGAGGUCGUUCAAA